rnacentral:rRNA from 1 species
UGUUACUUAUACACAAUGGAUUUUGGAAUAGUAGUAAUUAUAAAAUUUAACGGAUUUGGCGGCAAGAUAGCCAUUUAGAGGAACCUGCCCUAUAAACGAUGAACCACGAAUUACUCUACUUUUAUUUGAAAUUCAGUUUGUAUACCGCUGUUGUCAGUCAGUUUCUUUAGAAAACUUUCGCGCAUGAAAAAAUUAUAGACUUCAAGUAAAGGUGCAGCUUAUAUAAAAGAUAGAGGUGGGUUACAUUUAAAAGAUUAAUACGGAUAAAGUUUUUGAAACAACUUUUGAAGGUGGAUUUAAUUGUAAAGUUUAAUAAAACUUGAUGAGAGCUCUGUCUUGUG